UCUUGGUCAGGAUGAACGCUGGCGGCGUGCCUAAUACAUGCAAGUGAAACGGGUAUCUUCGGAUACCAGUCGCGGACGGGUGAGUAAUACAUAGGCAACCUGCCUUUAUGAGGGGGAUAACCGAGGGAAACUUUGGCUAAUACCGCAUGAAGACUCUAAGGCAUCUUAGAGGGAUAAAAGUUGGGAAACAACGCAUGAAGAUGGGCUUAUGGCGCAUUAGCUAGUUGGUGAGAUAGAAGCCCACCAAGGUAAUGAUGCGUAGCCGACCUGAGAGGGUGAACGGCCACAUUGGGACUGAGACACGGCCCAAACUCCUACGGGAGGCAGCAGUAGGGAAUUUUCGGCAAUGGGGGGAACCCUGACCGAGCAACGCCGCGUGAAAAGGAAGAAGGUUUUCGGAUUGUAAACUUCUGUUAUAAGGGAAGAACGGAUUGGAUAGGGAAUGAUCUGAUAGUGACGGUACCUUAUUAGAAAGCCACGGCUAACUACGUGCCAGCCGCAGC
rnacentral:rRNA from 1 species